AGCGCAGGUGGUUUCUUAAGUCUGAUGUGAAAGCCCACGGCUUAACCGUGGAGGGUCAUUGGAAACUGGGAAACUUGAGUACAGAAGAGGAAUGUGGAACUCCAUGUGUAGCGGUGGAAUGCGUAGAUAUAUGGAAGAACACCAGUGGCGAAGGCGACAUUCUGGUCUGUUACUGACACUGAGGCUCGAAAGCGUGGGGAGCAAACA
rnacentral:rRNA from 1 species